UACGAAGGGGGCUAGCGUUGUUCGGAAUCACUGGGCGUAAAGGGCGCGUAGGCGGCCGAUCAAGUCGGGGGUGAAAGCCUGUGGCUCAACCACAGAAUUGCCUUCGAUACUGUUUGGCUUGAGACCGGAAGAGGUUAGUGGAACUGCGAGUGUAGAGGUGAAAUUCGUAGAUAUUCGCAAGAACACCAGUGGCGAAGGCGGCUCACUGGCCCGAUACUGACGCUGAGGCACGAAAAGCGUGGGGGAGCAAACAGG
rnacentral:rRNA from 1 species